UAACGCGUAAACAACCUGCCCUUCGGAUGGGGAUAACAGCCGGAAACGGCUGCUAAUACCGAAUACGAUCUUUUCGUCGCAUGACGGAAAGAAGAAAGGAUGGCCUCUAUACAAAGCUAUCGCCGAAGGAGGGGUUUGCGUCUGAUUAGCUGGUUGGAGGGGUAACGGCCCAACAAGGCGAUGAUCAGUAGCCGGUCUGAGAGGAUGAACGGCCACAUUGGGACUGAGAUACGGCCCAGACUCCUACGGGAGGCAGCAGCU
rnacentral:rRNA from 1 species